AGGAUCCCCAUGUGACCUUGCGCUGGCUCUUCCUCAGAUGGGGAUGACACGCCCUCCACUCCCGGUCCCGCCACAUGUCCCGCUCCCGACGCCGCCGCGCCGGAACCCGUUCCUGCUGUUCCCGCUCGCCGCACCUACACCCGGGACUUCCUUGUGAAGUGUGCCGCCUCUCCCCUAAGCCGCCUCACCCCAAACAACUGGUCGCAAGUGGUGCGGCAGUCGCCCUUGGUCCUCAAGAAGAGCUGGCAGUAUCAGGCAGGUGUGGUAGCGACACUGAAUGAACAGGGAGACGCAGCCCUCAAUGCAGUGCCUACAUACCUCCAGGCGAGUGACCUGGAGGAUGCGGCAGCCUUGGCCAAGAGGGAACUGCGCUGGACCCUGGUCAGAACAAUGUCCACCACUGAGGAAGAUGACAAUGGAAACAACAGCACCUCUUAGAAGAAUGGUUGUGACGUUUGUAUAUUAAAUAACAGUGGAAGGAAUUUUAUGAUGUGUUAUUAUUACUAUGUGUUUUUUUGUAAACAGAUAUAUAUGUAUACACUUAAGGUUUAUCAUGUGAAGUUGUCUUUUUGAUAUAUGUUUCUUUGUCUCUGUCUUUUUGUGUCAUUUGGCUUGAUGUCAAAUGCAAAUUUGUUUUUUUUACUGAUCUGUUGAUGUUAGAUAUGUAUUGUAACAGAACUUGCCUUUUUUUUUUAUUGAAUUAUGUACACAAAUGAUCUAAAAUUAAGCUACAUUAUCAAGCCAGAUUUGUAACACACCACUAUAGUCAAUAUAUACCACAGGUUGAGAAUCUGAGUAUAAAAUAAAACAAUUUGAAAUUCUUUGAAUUGUAAGCCCUUAGAAAAUUACCUUCUGCAUAUUCACCACAAAAAUAAACAGCCAUAACUGAUCGUCAUUGGCUGGUUUUCCCCUUGAAUCUCUUGUGUCCGGGCAAUGAAAAGGUUCAGGGAUCCAAUUCAGAGCCUAGUCACAUACUCAGUAUUUCAUAGCUAUUUAUGAGGGAUUUAUAUAAAAUAUAUAUAUUUAUAUCAUGUCCUUUUUUCUGUUUGGUGGAUCUGUUGAAGCUAAUACGAUAUUGGCAAUGGCUGAUUAUGUAUGGUAAAUAAAGGGCUGUUUGUGUAUGGUAAAUAAGAUAUUUUUUUGUUACAAAAUUAGUAUAACAUGUACUGAAACCCAAUAAUGAAUGCUUUUGCAAACUUCCAGCAUUUUGGUUGAUAAUAUUUAUUGACGCAUUGGGUUUUUAGCUUAAGGAUAUUUGAUACAUUUGUUUUAAUGGUGACAAACGUGAUGUUUUUAGAAGCGUAUUCGCCACUAGAAUGAGUUUUGUCUGUAGAAGUUAUACAGUGUAAUGAGUUUCCUUUUUAUUAUUGUCUACAAAAAGAUGUUAAUAACAUCUAUAGAUUUUUAGUUGCUAUGGAUAUGAAAAUCAUAUAUUUAUAUAUACAUAUUUUUCAUAUUCAUGGAGGUAUUUAAAGUUUUUGCAAAAUACAAAGUAGAUGCAUUGGUUCUCGUGUGAACACAAUUUGAUAAGAUUAUACAAAAAUGUGCCUUUUGUAAUCUAUAAGAAUUUUUUUUUUCCUUUUUUUUUUUUUGAAUGGAGAAAAAUUAAUGAAAUCCUCAUGUCUUUAGAUCAAAUGAUGUAACUUUCUAUCAUUAGAAAUUAGUGAUAGUAGUGAGUCGACUAUUAAUGUUUAGAAAAGAAGAAUGUUUCCUAAUGCUUGUACCUUUAGUAUUCUUUUUUUUUGUUUCAUUUUGUUAUUUAGAAACCCCAUUCUUGUUGAUUUCUUUUGUUGAUUUGUCUUAUUUUAUUCUACUAUAUAGAAGAAGUGAAAUUCUCUAUUGCUCUCUUUCUCUUUUUAAUUUAUCACUAAAGAAAAAAAAUAUGCAUUUUUCGUGUAUUAAUUCUCUUGGGUCGAAGGUGUUUAUUCUAGUCUCUUCAGAAGAACUUGUUUAUUUUUGUUAAAACCUUUUUUUGUAGUUUGUUAUUUGUUAUUAGUAGGAAUGCUCCCAUAUUCACUAUACUUUAUAAUCGACAACGAAUAAAGGAUAAGUUACUA